rnacentral:lncRNA from 10 species
UGCCAGCACUUUAGGAGGUUGAGUCAGGAGGAUAGCUUAAACCCAGGAGUUUGAGGCCAACCUGGGCAACACAGUGGGACACCAUCUCUACAAAAAAAUAAAAAAAAUAGCCAGGCACAGUGGCACGCACUCAGGAGGCUGAAGCAGGAGGAUCCUUUGAGCCUGGGAGGUUGAGGUUGCAGUGAGCACCACUGCACACCAGCCUGAGUGACAGAGCGAGUCCCUGUCUCAAAAAAUAAUAAUAAUUGCUCCUCGGCCUUUUGGCUAAGAUCAAGUACAAAAGAAUAAUAAUAAAUAUUUUUAAAUAAAAAGCAAUCCAUCACCUGUACCCCCCACAACUUUCUAACGUGUAUUAUCACCUUUGACUUCCUCAAAUCCUCUUCAAGAAUCACCCAUCCCUAUUUCAAGACUGGCGGACAUCAUUCUAUUCCUUUUAUAGGGCUUUGCUGUUUCCUAAAACACUUUCAUUUUCUGGUGGCAAUAAAAGUAGUCUGGUGGUGAUACAAACUAAUGUUGUUUUCUUUAACACUUACAGCUCAUCUGUAGGAUCACUUCGAUUUGCACUCUUUUUGCAAAGGCAAAACAUCUAAAGAAGAGACAGUAUCCAUACACUUGUCUACUCAUUAUUAUCAUUCGAGACAGACAAAACGCCCACCUGGGGAGGAAAUUCCCCAUGAAAAAGACAGAGUCAUGUGAAGGAAUCAAGAAGGGUGGAGAGUGUAUCUGCAGAAGGAAUCAGCUGAGUUUGGAGACUAUUUUGAUAUCCUGAUUCCCUCUUAAGAAAUGAUGACUCAAUGCAAAUCAAGAGGAUGACAUGACUGCUAAAAAAUGUAAUGCAUUAUUGGCACCAUUCGUAAAAGUAUACUGUCCACAGUAAAAAAAAAUAUGUUGUCCUGGGUAAUACAUUUUAAGAAAUAUAUCAUUAAAAGCAUGUGUCUAAAGGAGGACAAUCAGGAUAAGGGAGAGUUCUGGAAACAUGUCAUAUGGAUAAUAAGAAAAAAUAAAGCUUAAAGAAAAAUAAGAAGGAAUAUGACAAAUAUUUUCAAAUAGGAGUAAAUUUAUUUCAUAUAGAUUCAGGGGGAGAAUCAAGUCUGAGGAUUAUAAACCAUAAGCAGACUGAUUUCCACUCAAUAUAAGGAAACACUUUCCAUUAAAACUGUCCAAUAAUGGCCAGGUGCAGUGGCUCAUGCCUGUAAUGUCAGCACUUUGGGAGGCCAAGGCAGCCAGAUCACCUGAGGUCGGGAGUUCAAGACCAGCCUGGUCAACAUGGUGAAACCCUGUCUCUACCAAAAAAAAAAAUUAGCCAGGUGUGGUGGUGGGUGCCUGUAAUCCCAGCUACUCAGGAGGCUGAGGCACAAGAAUCGCUUGAGCUUGGGAGGUGGAGGUUGCAAUGAACCGAGAUUGACAGAGGAGACGCCAUCUCAAAAAAAAAAAAAAAAAAAAGAAAGAAAGAAAGAAAAAGCAGAGGGAGAAAACUGUCCAAUCAUUAUUGGAGUUAGGUCCAUGGAAACGUAGUGAACUCCUAGUUACUAAAAGAAUUCAAGAGAAAGCUGAAUAAUAUUCCAGAAAGUACACUAUAAAACAGGAGUUGGCUGGGCAUGGUGGCUCACGCCUGUAAUCCUAGCACUUUGGGAGGCCGAGGCAGGCAGAUCAUGAGG